rnacentral:lncRNA from 1 species
AACGCCUCCACUCCCCGAACAAUGGAAGGCUCCCUCCCUCCCCAACCUAUCCCGGGAGCCGAGGAAAGUGGUAUCAUGGAAGACACUUGAGACCCUCGUCCACCCGGAGGUGGCACCAGAGGAAUCUACGCAGCAAGCGUAGAUUGAGGAGCCCUUGUCUCCUGUUUUUAAUCUGAUUUUCCUUUCACAGUCUCUGCCUCUAAAGAGUCUAGUUCUUGUGUCUUCGGCCUUUCCCCUGUCCUAAAAUUGCACUGCUCUUUGUAGAAGUCAUUCCUCCCCCUACCUCCCAUGUGCCACACUUUUAAUAAACUAUUUUUCUCCUCUUAAUCUUUGUUUAGAGAUUCUGGCCAAGAACUGUCCCUCCCUCACCCUAUCUUAAGAUACUCGGCACAUUGCCUGUGGUGUACAUUAAAUCUACUUGAG